rnacentral:rRNA from 1 species
UACGGGGGGGGCAAGCGUUGUUCGGAAUUACUGGGCGUAAAGGGUUCGUAGGUGGCCCGCUAAGUCAGACGUGAAAUCCCUCAGCUCAACUGGGGAACUGCGUCUGAGACUGGCAGGCUCGAGUGUAGGAGAGGAACGCGGAAUUCCAGGUGUAGCGGUGAAAUGCGUAGAUAUCUGGAGGAACACCGGUGGCGAAGGCGGCGUUCUGGACUGUUACUGACACUGAGGAACGAAAGCCAGGGGAGCAAACGGG